CUACGGGCCGCAGCAGUGGGGAAUAUUGGACAAUGGGGGAAACCCUGAUCCAGCAAUGCCGCGUGUGUGAAGAAGGCCUGCGGGUUGUAAAGCACUUUCGGUUGGGAGGACUGCUUCUAGCACUAAUAUUGUUGGAAGUUGACGUUACCUUCAGAAGAAGCACCGGCUAACUCCGUGCCAGCAGCCGCGGUAAUAGCGGAGGGUGCAAGCGUUAAUCGGAAUUACUGGGCGUAAAGCGCGCGUAGGCGGCUAGAUCAGUCGGGUGUGAAAGCCCCGGGCUUAACCUGGGAACUGCAUCCGAUACUGUCUAGCUUGAGUACAGGAGAGGAGAGUGGAAUUCCACAUGUAGCGGUGAAAUGCGUAGAUAUGUGGAGGAACACCAAUGGCGAAGGCAGCUCUCUGGCCUGAUACUGACGCUGAGGUGCGAAAGCGUGGGGAGCAAACAGGAUUAGAUACCCCUGUAGUC
rnacentral:rRNA from 1 species